CCCGCACGCCGGAAGACCAAGGGUUCCUGUCCAACGUUAAUCGGGGCAGGGUGAGUCGACCCCUAAGGCGAGGCAGAAAUGCGUAGUCGAUGGGAAACGGGUUAAUAUUCCCGUACUGGUGAUAAUUGCGAUGGGGGGACGGAGAAGGUUAGGCUGGCCGGGCGACGGUUGUCCCGGUUUAAGGAUGUAGGCAGGUGAAUUAGGCAAAUCCGGUUCACUAUAUGCUGAGGUCUGAUGACGAGUCACUACGGUGGCGAAGUAGCUUAUACCCCGCUUCCAGGAAAAGCCUCUAAGCUCUAGAUUAUCAUUAAUCGUACCCCAAACCGACACAGGUGGUCAGGUAGAGAAUACUCAGGCGCUUGAGAGAACUCGGGUGAAGGAACUAGGCAAAAUGGUGCCGUAACUUCGGGAGAAGGCACGCUGGCAUUAGGUGAAGUGGUUUACCCAUGGAGCUGAAGCCAGUCGCAGAUACCAGCUGGCUGCAACUGUUUAUUAAAAACACAGCACUGUGCAAACACGAAAGUGGACGUAUACGGUGUGACGCCUGCCCGGUGCUGGAAGGUUAAUUGAUGGGGUUAUCCGUAAGGAGAAGCUCUUGAUCGAAGCCCCAGUAAACGGCGGCCGUAACUAUAACGGUCCUAAGGUAGCGAAAUUCCUUGUCGGGUAAGUUCCGACCUGCACGAAUGGCGUAAUGAUGGCCAGGCUGUCUCCACCCGAGACUCAGUGAAAUUGAACUCGCUGUGAAGAUGCAGUGUACCCGCGGCAAGACGGAAAGACCCCGUGAACCUUUACUAUAGCUUGACACUGAACAUUGAGCCUUGAUGUGUAGGAUAGGUGGGAGGCUUUGAAGCGUGGACGCCAGUCUGCGUGGAGCCAACCUUGAAAUACCACCCUUUAAUGUUUGAUGUUCUAACGUAGCCCCAUUAUCUGGGGUGCGGACAGUGUCUGGUGGGUAGUUUGACUGGGGCGGUCUCCUCCCAAAGAGUAACGGAGGAGCACGAAGGUUGGCUAAGCAUGGUCGGACAUCAUGCGGUUAGUGCAAAGGCAUAAGCCAGCUUGACUGCGAGAGUGACGGCUCGAGCAGGUACGAAAGUAGGUCUUAGUGAUCCGGUGGUUCUGUAUGGAAGGGCCAUCGCUCAACGGAUAAAAGGUACUCCGGGGAUAACAGGCUGAUACCGCCCAAGAGUUCAUAUCGACGGCGGUGUUUGGCACCUCGAUGUCGGCUCAUCACAUCCUGGGGCUGAAGUAGGUCCCAAGGGUACGGCUGUUCGCCGUUUAAAGUGGUACGCGAGCUGGGUUUAGAACGUCGUGAGACAGUUCGGUCCCUAUCUGCCGUGGGCGUUGGAAGAUUGAAAGGGGCUGCUCCUAGUACGAGAGGACCGGAGUGGACGCACCACUGGUGUUCGGGUUGUCAUGCCAAUGGCAUUGCCCGGUAGCUAAGUGCGGAAGAGAUAACCGCUGAAAGCAUCUAAGCGGGAAACUUGCCUUGAGAUGAGUCUUCCCUGACUCUUUAAGGGUCCUAAAGGAACGUUUAAGACUAAGACGUUGAUAGGUUGGGUGUGUAAGCGUAGCGAUACGUUGAGCUAACCAAUACUAAUGAACCGUGAGGCUUAACCUGACAACACCGAAGGUGUUU
rnacentral:rRNA from 1 species